GAUGAACGCUGACAGAAUGCUUAACACAUGCAAGUCUACUUGAACUUCGGUUUGGGUGGCGGACGGGUGAGUAACGCGUAAAGAACUUGCCUCACAGAUAGGGACAACAUUUGGAAACGAAUGCUAAUACCUGAUAUUAUGAUUUUAGGGCAUCCUAGAAUUAUGAAAGCUAUAUGCACUGUGAGAGAGCUUUGCGUCCCAUUAGCUAGUUGGAGGGGUAACGGCUCACCAAGGGGAUGAUGGGUAGCCGGCCUGAGAGGGUGAACGGCCAAAAGGGGACUGAGGUACGGCCCAGACCCCUACGGGGGGCAAGAGUGGGGAAUAUUGGACAAUGGGCCCAAGCGUGUGGCCGAGAAGUUGGGUGGGGGAAAAAGGUUUUUGGGGAGGAAAAAGUUUUUUCAUUUGAAAAAGAAAAAGUGACGGUAACAAGAAAAGAAGCACCGGCUAAAUACGUG
rnacentral:rRNA from 1 species